rnacentral:rRNA from 1 species
UACGUAGGGACCGAGCGUUGUCCGGAUUCAUUGGGCGUAAAGAGCUCGUAGGCGGCUGUUCAAGUCGAACGUGAAAACUCGGGGCUCAACUCCGAGCCUGCGUUCGAUACUGGACGGCUAGAGUCUGGUAGGGGGGAUCUGGAAUUCCUGGUGUAGCGGUGGAAUGCGCAGAUAUCAGGAGGAACACCGGUGGCGAAGGCGGGAUCCUGGGCCAGUACUGACGCUGAGGAGCGAAAAGCGUGGGGAGCGAACAGG